rnacentral:rRNA from 1 species
UGAGGAAUAUUGGUCAAUGGCCGAGAGGCUGAACCAGCCAAGUCGCGUGAAGGAAGAAGGAUCUAUGGUUUGUAAACUUCUUUUAUAGGGGAAUAAAGUGGAGGACGUGUCCUUUUUUGUAUGUACCCUAUGAAUAAGCAUCGGCUAACUCCGUGCCAGCAGCCGCGGUAAUACGGAGGAUGCGAGCGUUAUCCGGAUUUAUUGGGUUUAAAGGGUGCGUAGGUGGUGAUUUAAGUCAGCGGUGAAAGUUUGUGGCUCAACCGUAAAAUUGCAGUUGAUACUGGCGACCUUGAGUGCAACAGAGGUAGGCGGAAUUCGUGGUGUAGCGGUGAAAUGCUUAGAUAUCACGAAGAACUCCGAUUGCGAAGGCAGCUUACUGGAUUGUAACUGACGCUGAUGCUCGAAAGUGUGGGUAUCAAACAGGAUUAGAUACCCUGGUAGUCCACACAGUAAACGAUGAAUACUCGCUGUUGGCGAUAUACGGUCAGCGGCCAAGCGAAAGCAUUAAGUAUUCCACCUGGGGAGUACGCCGGCAACGGUGAAACUCAAAGGAAUUGACGGGGGCCCGCACAAGCGGAGGAACAUGUGGUUUAAUUCGAUGAUACGCGAGGAACCUUACCCGGGCUUAAAUUGCAACUGACGGAACCGGAAACGGUUCUUUCUUCGGACAGUUGUGAAGGUGCUGCAUGGUUGUCGUCAGCUCGUGCCGUGAGGUGUCGGCUUAAGUGCCAUAACGAGCGCAACCCUUAUCGAUAGUUACUAGCAGGUCAUGCUGAGGACUCUAUUGAGACUGCCGUCGUAAGAUGUGAGGAAGGUGGGGAUGACGUCAAAUCAGCACGGCCCUUACGUCCGGGGCUACACACGUGUUACAAUGGGGGGUACAGAAGGCAGCUACACGGCGACGUGGUGCUAAUCCCUAAAGCCUCUCUCAGUUCGGAUUGGAGUCUGCAGCCCGACUCCAUGAAGCUGGAUUCGCUAGUAAUCGCGCAUCAGCCACGGCGCGGUGAAUACGUUCCC